GCUCAGUUGGUUAAGUGUCUGACUCUUGAUUUUGGUUCAGGUCAUGACUUCAGGGUUGUGGGAUCGAGCCCCACACGGGGCU
rnacentral:tRNA from 1 species